GCGAACGCUGGCGGCAGGCUUAACACAUGCAAGUCGAGCGGGCGUAGCAAUACGUCAGCGGCAGACGGGUGAGUAACGCGUGGGAACGUACCUUUUGGUUCGGAACAACACAGGGAAACUUGUGCUAAUACCGGAUAAGCCCUUACGGGGAAAGAUUUAUCGCCGAAAGAUCGGCCCGCGUCUGAUUAGCUAGUUGGUGAGGUAAUGGCUCACCAAGGCGACGAUCAGUAGCUGGUCUGAGAGGAUGAUCAGCCACAUUGGGACUGAGACACGGCCCAAACUCCUACGGGAGGCAGCAGUGGGGAAUAUUGGACAAUGGGGGCACCCUGAUCCAGCCAUGCCGCGUGAGUGAUGAAGGCCCUAGGGUUGUAAAGCUCUUUUGUGCGGGAAGAUAAUGACGGUACCGCAAGAAUAAGCCCCGGCUAACUUCGUGCCAGCAGCCGCGGUAAUACGAAGGGGGCUAGCGUUGCUCGGAAUCACUGGGCGUAAAGGGUGCGUAGGCGGGUCUUUAAGUCAGGGGUGAAAUCCUGGAGCUCAACUCCAGAACUGCCUUUGAUACUGAAGAUCUUGAGUCCGGGAGAGGUGAGUGGAACUGCGAGUGUAGAGGUGAAAUUCGUAGAUAUUCGCAAGAACACCAGUGGCGAAGGCGGCUCACUGGCCCGGUACUGACGCUGAGGCACGAAAGCGUGGGGAGCAAACAGGAUUAGAUACCCUGGUAGUCCACGCCGUAAACGAUGAAUGCCAGCCGUUAGUGGGUUUACUCACUAGUGGCGCAUCUAACGCUUUAGGCAUUCCGCCGGGGGAGUACGGUCUCCCCAUUUGCACUCAAAUGAAUUGACGGGGGCCCGCACAGGCGGGGGACCCUGUGAUUCCUUUGGAUUCUACCCUUACAACCGUACCCGCCCGGGGAAAGGCUAAGACCGGUCGCUGAGCCAUUACUGUCUCAACCCAAUAAGGGACUGGCUUUCCUCCAUUUACGGCGGGGAACUACCAGGGGU
rnacentral:rRNA from 1 species